rnacentral:rRNA from 1 species
AUGCUAGAUUUGCUUCCCAUAAUUUUGAUGAGCAUGAAAAAAUUUCAAGUUGCGGUUAGUACAUUCAGUAGCUUUGCUUUAGUUUGGUGGAGUGAAUAUUGUCGAUUAAACCCUGAUUUUAUACCUACUACUUGGGAUGAUUUAAAACUUGGCAUGAGAGAUAGAUUCGUUGAUGUUUAUUAUACUCGUGGCAUGAAUAAGAAAUUACAACAUUUAAAACAAGGCACUGACACCGUAUCAAAAUAUUAUGAUGAUUUAAAAACUACCUUUUUGCACUCAUUUUUAGAAGAAAGUGAAGAAGAUUGCAUGGAUAGAUUUUGGGGAGGAUUGAACCGUGAUAUUCAAGAGAUACUAAUGCAUGAACAGUGUUAUCCUAUGGACCAUUUGUUUCAUCUUGCUUGCAAAGCUGAACAGGAAAUAAAACGACAUGUUGCCCACAACGAGAACAAGCGCACGGUUUACAUUCCAAGAGUUGAUACGAUUGUUUCUUCAACUACUGGGCAUACUAUGACAACCACAUCCAUUGUUGUGAGGACUACAUUACCUACACUAUGUGACAUAUCACCACCGAUAGUGCCUACAUUAUCUGAGUUGAUCAUAAAAGGUAAUGACAAAGAUUAA